AACGAACGCUGGCGGCAUGCCUAACACAUGCAAGUCGAACGAGACCUUCGGGUCUAGUGGCGCACGGGUGCGUAACGCGUGGGAACCUGCCCUUAGGUUCGGCAUAACUCCCCGAAAGGGGUUCUAAUACCGGAUAAUGUCUUCGGACCAAAGAUUUAUCGCCUUUGGAUGGGCUCGCGUUGGAUUAGCUAGUUGGUAGGGUAAAAGCCUACCAAGGCGACGAUCCAUAGCUGGUCUGAGAGGAUGAUCAGCCACACUGGGACUGAGACACGGCCCAGACUCGUACGGGAGGCAGCAGUGGGGAAUAUUGGACAAUGGGCGAAAGCCUGAUCCAGCAAUGCCGCGUGAGUGAUGAAGGCCUUAGGGUUGUAAAGCUCUUUUACCCGGGAUGAUAAUGACAGUACCGGGAGAAUAAGCUCCGGCUAACUCCGUG
rnacentral:rRNA from 1 species